rnacentral:rRNA from 1 species
CCUACGGGGCGCAGCAGUAGGGAAUCUUCCACAGUGGACGAAAGUCUGAUGGAGCAACGCCGCGUGAGUGAAGAAGGGUUUCGGCUCGUAAAGCUCUGUUGGUAGUGAAGAAAGAUAGAGGUAGUAACUGGCCUUUAUUUGACGGUAAUUACUUAGAAAGUCACGGCUAACUACGUGCCAGCAGCCGCGGUAAUACGUAGGGGGCAAGCGUUGUCCGGAUUUAUUGGGCGUAAAGCGAGUGCAGGCGGUCACAUAAGACUGAUGUGGAAGCCUUCG